UACGGAGGGUGCGAGCGUUGUUCGGAUUUAUUGGGCGUAAAGCGCGUGUAGGCGGUUUUAUAAGUCUGAUGUGAAAGCCCCGGGCUCAACCUGGGAAGUGCAUUGGAUACUGUAAGACUUGAAUACGGGAGAGGGCAGUGGAAUUCUUAGUGUAGGAGUGAAAUCCGUAGAGAUUAGGAGGAACACCGGUGGCGAAGGCGGCUGCCUGGACCGAUAUUGACGCUGAGACGCGAAAGCGUGGGGAGCAAACAGG
rnacentral:rRNA from 1 species